CUUUUAUCAGAGUGUUUUUCGAAAUAAAUAGCGGAAAUAAGACGAUAUAAUUUAAUGAAAUUUUAUCUGUUAUUUUACAUCUACUUUCACAAUAAUACUAAGAGGCAACAAUAAAACUUACAACUUCGUUAUACUUUAUUCAAGCGUGUUCGAUGUCCAUUUUCCCAAGCAACUUCCGGUUUUUAGUCAAGUGACAAUCUAUCAAGUUUAGAGCACAUAUGUGUGCGCAUCGUGUAAUCAGAAACAAUAGGGAGGAAAAUUAAUUGUAAUUCUUUGAAGACAAAUAUCAAACAGUUAAUUCGACCAAAGUGAUUAACUUUCAAGUAUCUCGUUAUCGGCAGCAACGGUAGCUAUUACCGGACCGAAGGAUAACAAACCGUAGCGGAGACGAUGAAAGCGCAAACAACGAGUCUCUCCCUCUCCUUCCUCUGAAACUGAUGGUGAUGUCAAAGUGGCGCAGGUUAGGCGCCAUCUGCAAUUCCAAUUCUGAUUCUGGUUUCUGGUAUCCACAUACUCCUCCCAUGCCUCCUUCGCUUCCUCCGUUUCUCCUGCAGCCCUCAACGAAAUUCUAUUAUACAUAGGUAUAUAUGUAUAUAUUGCAUUGCUUUUUAAUUACACUGGUUCACUUAUUAUAAGCAGAGAAAAUAAUUAACUUAGAGUUGCAGUCUUUUUUUUUACUCUGUUAUCACUGGAGAUUAAUACAAAUUACUUUUAGAUAGGUCUACUAUCUUUUCGUGCCAGUGAAAAUUGCACACUUAUUAUACAUUAAUUCUACGGUAAUUUAAGUAUUUUGUUCCGUUCUGUUUUUAAUAUCUUUCGAUAUACAUACAGUAAAUUUUAAUGAUUCUCUAAUUGAUUUUAUACUACUUAUAUUUUUUAUAAGGCAUCGAAAAUAUUUCACUUAUAAUAUUAUGAAUAAAUUAAUUAAAUGAAUGUUUCAUAAGAUAGCAGCAGCAGAAAAAUUUCAUAAUCAUCGUAUUACGUAAGUUCAUAUGGAAAUAAUUAUAGGGAAAAGGGCAUAUCCCAAGAAACAUUCGCAUCGAUUGCAGGUGUUUACCUUUAUUUUCUCUAAUUUAAAUAACGAAAUUAUAAUGAUUCACGAAUUACUUUUUAUUAAACGAGUAUAAUAUUUUUUUCACAAGUCUCUAUGACCUACUUUUCUCCGCAAUAAUAAACAAUACAUAUAGUAUAUCAUGAAAUUUCGAAAUACAUUGAUUCAAUUAAACGACAUAAUUAAAUUAAAUAAUAUUUCAUACAGUUUUUUUUAACGUAACAGAACAUUUUCUCCAUUAUCAAUAUAUUCAAUGAUUUUAUCGGGGAAGGGAUUCCUUUUUAUCGUACUUUUUACGAUAAGAGAAGAGAAGAGAAUUACCGGAGAGAAAGAUAAACGAUUAAUUUAUACAUAAGCUCAUUUUUCAAAUUAACAAUUGUUUAAAAAUGUACCAGAAAUGAACGUAGACGUAUAGAUGAUAUUAAAAGAAAACUUUUUAAUACAUUUUUACAAUUUUAGUUACAGUAUAUCCAUUUCACGCCUUUUUAAGGCUUACAAUAUAUGUAUGUAUAAUAUAAAUGCAGUUUCAUUCACCAUAACCAGUAACCUUGUUCUUGUUAAAUAUGUUUAAUACUUUGAUUGCAUUACAUCAGAACGAUCGUAAUGUAGUCACUUCUUGACUUGCUUCUGCAGAUUUUCUGCCAAUUUAUCAAGGAAUUCAAAUGUUUCUAAAUAACUAGAUCUUGUAACAUUAUUCAAUCCUUUGAUGCAAAUUGCAAGAUCCUUUGUCAUGUAACCAGAUUCGAUAGUAUUUAUGCAAACUACCUCUAAGGUUUCUGCAAAUCUCUUAAGUUCUUGAUUAUUAUCCAGUUUGGCACGAUAAACCAAACCCUGUGUCCAUGCGAAUAUCGAAGCAACCGGAUUGGUUGAUGUUUCUUUCCCUUGCUGAUAUUGACGAUAGUGCCUUGUAACUGUACCAU